UUUGGCAAAACAUAUACUUUAAAAAAAUUGAAACCAUAUGGAGAAGAUCAGCAUGGCCCACCUGCGCAAGGAUGACAUGGAAAUUUGUGAAGCGUUCCAUAAAGGA